rnacentral:rRNA from 1 species
UACGAAGGGGGCUAGCGUUGCUCGGAAUUACUGGGCGUAAAGAGCUUGUAGGCGGUUUGUCGCGUCUGCUGUGAAAAUCCGAGGCUCAACCUCGGACUUGCAGUGGGUACGGGCAGACUAGAGUGUGGUAGGGGAGACUGGAAUUCCUGGUGUAGCGGUGGAAUGCGCAGAUAUCAGGAGGAACACCGAUGGCGAAGGCAGGUCUCUGGGCC